rnacentral:tRNA from 1 species
UAGGGAGACCUCAACUGAAUCGAGAGACGAAAACCCAAAAAAAAGUCCUCGAGAAAGUUAAUCCCAAGGUCGUGACAAGGAAAGGGAAAAUCAAGCUUCCAAACGAACAGGGGUUCGGAAAAACUCGCCCGCCUAAAUCCUAAACAGAAGGAAAAGGUGUUCGGGUAAAAAACUCCAAAAAAUGGGCUAUUAGCUCAGGUGGUUAGAGCGCACCCCUGAUAAGGGUGAGGUCCCUGGUUCGAGUCCAGGAUGGCCCACCUCAACCCCAGACCGAAAGAGAUUCAGUUCAGCACCUAAUUCCUAAAAAGCCCCAGAAGCCGAAAAAAAGGAAAAAGAAUGCUGGAGAUGACUCCAGUCAGAACCAUGAAAACUGCAUAGUCACCCAAUAAAUAAARUAGGGAAGUCCGUAGAGUGUACCUCUACGAACGUCACAGACAAAACCGACCCAAAAGU